rnacentral:rRNA from 1 species
GAUGAACGCUGGCGGCGUGCCUAAUACAUGCAAGUCGAGCGAACGGACGAGAAGCUUGCUUCUCUGAUGUUAGCGGCGGACGGGUGAGUAACACGUGGAUAACCUACCUAUAAGACUGGGAUAACUUCGGGAAACCGUAGCUAAUACCGGAUAAUAUUUUGAACCGCAUGGUUCAAAAGUGAAAGACGGUCUUGCUGUCACUUAUAGCUGGAUCCGCGCUGCAUUAGCUAGUUGGUAAGGUAACGGCUUACCAAGGCAACGAUGCAUAGCCGACCUGAGAGGGUGAUCGGCCACACUGGAACUGAGACACGGUCCAGACUCCUACGGGAGGCAGCAGUAGGGAAUCUUCCGCAAUGGGCGAAAGCCUGACGGAGCAACGCCGCGUGAGUGAUGAAGGUCUUCGGAUCGUAAAACUCUGUUAUUAGGGAAGAACAUAUGUGUAAGUAACUGUGCACAUCUUGACGGUACCUAAUCAGAAAGACACGGCUAACUACGUG